UUUAAUUAUUGUCAUUAUUAGUGAAAGAAUAUUGUACAAUUAUUGAAUAAAUCUUGUUUAAUUACAAUGAUUAGAAGAUACACGUACGUUAUACGUUAGAGAAAAACAAAUACGGAAUAGGAAUACACGACGUGUUAUUAUUAUUCGUAGAAGUCAAAGGAAUACGGCAAAUGAAUAUACACAAAUAUACCUGCUGACUAAUCUCGAGAUUUCGUGUAUUUUUGUUUUCGCAACAAUCGAGGCACCACUGUUUGUAGCGAUGGCCUUGUAACAAGUAUUGCCUCUCAUUGUGGCCGUGUAAACGUUGACGAAUGGAUCGACACGCGCUUGGAAACGUUAAUAUUAACCAACGCAAAAUUGAAAUUGUGUGAUUUCAUCAUUAUUAUUCUUAAUCACUGUCUUUUUUUAGAAAUUUUCUAUAAAAAGAAUAAUACGUAAUACGAUAUCGAAUCGAAGGAGCGUUCAUUUUUACGUUUCACACUAUCGAAAAGGGAUUCGGAAAUAUCCUUUUAAUUAUCGAUUACGUUUCUUCAAUAAAAGUCAAAUACUUGGGAGAUGCUUUCAAGACUAAGCUUAAAAAAAGAUACCAUCAAGAGACUCAAAUCCAGUUAUCAAAUCCCAUAGCGAAUUAAACUUGUUUCAAACGUGAAAUCUAAUUAAUUUUCUAAAAGGUUGUCGAUUUAUGCUUACGUCGACAAUUUAAUUAACGGUAUCAAUUUCGGUGAAAUGUAUUUUACCUUCGUGGAAUUCUGUAUCUGUAUGUAUGAAUGCAUGAAAGUCCGGCUCACCCACCGAAUAACCACAAAAUACAAGUGACACACGAAGGGUUACGAAGCGUCACGAAGUGACCCGAAUAAGGUUCUACGGGACGCUAGUAAGUAUAUGUAUACUAACCACGACCUCAUUCGAACUUUUACAAGCCACUGUAUACGAACGAUUCCCAUACCUGUCUAAAUGUCCAAUUAUAAAUAUUACAAUCUCCAGUAUAAUGGAAAAAGUUUCAUUCUCUCGAUAGUGCGUCAAGUUAGAAAUUUUAUAACCUAAAUGAAUAUGUUAGUACAAGAUAUUUCUCUUAUAUUCAAUUCAAAGAGAGAAGUCAGGUCGGAACAAACCAAGUAAAUUAUUCAUAUGUCAUAAUAUAUAUAUAUAUAUUUCAAGAAUUUUAUUUCUCAAAUGCUUUCAACAAAUUCACAUAAUUCAUGACAAUUUAAUGCGUGCAAGUUGGUAAUAAUAUACAUUUUUAUAAAAGCUUUCUAUAAACUCGCAGUACAAUACUUCUAUUUUACAUAGAAAUUAUCAUCGAAAGUUUUGUUGAAAACAUAGUUUCGUCAUAAUUUAGCGUAAUUAUACGCCAAGUAUAGUACCAUUUGUAAUGAUAAGGGUUAAUUAAGAAAGUGACUCGUAAGUGGUUGGUUUCCAACAGAGAGAACAAACAACCAACCGGGGUUCUCUUGGCCCAAACAGAAAAACAAAAAAAAACUGUUCCUGUGUUCCUGUGCAAGUUCUUAUUACUUCAGUCAUUUAUUCGUCCUCGUCACUUAACCUUAUGGAUAUAUUCAUGAUUCACUACCAGCAACAGAUCAUUUCCUCGUCCGUGAUCCAUACUGAUGUAUUGUACACGACAAUCUCUAAUGAAAUAUCAGCCCACACUACGAACGCAAAUAAUCGACAUUUAUAAUUCAAUUGAAAGUCACGAAGGCUGAACAACGUCAGAGAAGAAUCUUCCAAUGUGAAUGAUUCAUUCUUCCUUCAUUGAAUACAAAAUUCAUCGAUUAUUGGAUAGGAACUAACAAACUUGUAAAAUUUCCAAUAAAUUUGAAGUUUUCGGAUAUCGAAGUUACAAACAAAACAACAUUUCGAUCGGUUUACAAUGCUCGACGAAUAAACAACGAAAAAAACGAAAAAAAAGAGAUAAAAAGUAUUUAAAAAAAAAAACAAAUUGACAAAGGAAAAGGGAAACCGAAAACAGAGAAAAACACAUCGAAAAUGCAACGAUAUAAAACGAGAACUAUUCGAUGAAAGAGGUUGUAGAUUGGAGUAAAUUCACUUUAUUACUUCAUGAGUAAGCAAGAGACAAGGGAAGCGAGUAGUUUAUUGAGAAUUACUGUGAUAAAUAAGGCGGGAGCAAGCAGUGGAAGAGGUUACACCGAAGAGUGGGGAAUGGCAACGCGAGGAGAACGAUCUCCACUCCAUGGAUACUCCUCGUAAUGUGUACCGUAUGCAGCUACAUCUACACGCAUACGCCAUCUCUGAGCGCAUACGUUUACGUGUGUUCAUGUAAACGCGUUCUCUCUCUCCUUUCUCCUAUCUCUCUCUCUCUCUCUCUCUCUCUCGCUCUGUCCCCUCCCUUCUAUCCCCACUCCAUUUCUAUACGCGCGCGUGUAUUUAUAUGAUACACUAUUCAAGUGCGCGUGCGGAGAAUUCAGUUUCGUAUGUGCACACGAACGAUACAGUAUAUACAGACGGUGUUUCACGAAUAGGAUUACACUCGUCCAACAUUAAAUAGACUCUUGUAUUCGCGAUAAAGUUAUUUUUACGAUCGUCGUGAAGACAUUCGUCGAGUUAUCCUCCAUGAAAAAGCAUCAGCAACAAUUUCAGUUGCGAAUGCGACUACCAGUAGGUAGGGAGGAAAUUUUUCUCUCGGCCAGACGCGAGGUUGAACACACUGUAGAGCGAUGGCGAGCAAAGUGGGGGUAGGGCUAUACCGCAUGUGUAUAUAUACACCAAUCUACAGAGAGACCGAAUGGUCAAUGCUUGCUUGGCACUGUCACACAAAUAUGACACCAGGAUCGAACGGAAUUCAAUACUGGUUUGAAAUUUGUAAUCAGAUUGACGGCAAAUUUCCGAUGAAUCGUGACAACAUCAUCUACAUAUAUGGAGAGGACGGAGAUAUUCGGAUGACAGAUGCAAAUACGGAAUAAAAGCAAGAGGAGAAUAUAAUAAUCAAUGGAAAUACGACGACACGAAAUAAAACAAAACGGAGAAGAGUGGUGUAAUAAUCGAUGCUUCUGGAUAGAAAUAUUAAAUUAAAAAAAAUUUAUGAAUCGCGUCUAGCGGAGCGCGACAACGAUUAUUAAUGUAACGUUAAUAAUUUUAUUGUAACGCUCGAUUGGGCGCAUCGUAAAUUAUUAGCAAUGACAAUAACGCGUUUUGAUGCAUUUAUUCAUCCUGUGUACAAUACAGAAAUAAUAAAACCGAAACGAAACGAAUGGAACGAAAUAAUGUAAAAUGUGAGACAAAGAUGGGGAGGAACAAGAUUGAAGACCACGCUUGUAUUUCUGCAAUUGUAAUAAACACACAGUAAAACAAUUCAUCUUUGUCGGAAAAUUUGUUUGCUCGCGAAACGAUGGAAAAUUUGAAAAGAAUCUCCAAAACGGAAACAAGAAUUAGAUAAAAGAUCGAUACUAGAAAAACGCCCAGGUCUCGUUGAGAAACGUGUUGUUUCCCCAAUGAAUUUUGCGAUUAAUUUGAUCGUGUUUUAAAUAUUUUAAUAAAUGAAAUAAAUUGCAUCAGCGGGAAAUAAAAAAUAAGAGGAAAAUAUCGACGAAAAUGCUUGGAAACGGAAAGAGAGAAAGUUUUUUUCAGGUGGAGAGAGAACCCGUGGGCAAAGGAGUGUGGGAAUAGGUGAAAGAAAUGCAUUCGAGGCAUGUAAUCCGUUUAUAUUCCCUGUGAUUGACCGUUCUCCCAUCAGUCCCUGUUACACGAGAACGUAACUCCUCCGUUGAAAUCCGUUUCCCGCCCAUUGUGAUGGAACACGCACAUACAAGACGGAAAUAAUAAAUACGGAAAGUUUGUUAUUACUCGUAAUUUCAAUUUCAAUCAAAUCUGAAUUUAAUAAGACAAGUUUUCACUCGUAAUAUAAUCAAUUUUUAAUUUUUUUUUUUUUUAAACGAUUUAAUUCAAUGCUCGAUAAUUCAUAAUAAUUCAUUAUUUUACGUUUUCAGUUCAAUUUAUCGUAACAAUAAUUUCACGUCUCACAGGUUCACCCUUUUUAUCCUUUACAUCUCUCAUCUUUUACGAGGUUACGUUUUAAUUACAAUUCCACAAAGUUGAUAAAGUUUAAACGGGAGCACGCAUAGUACGGUGAAAAGAAAAAGGAAAAAGGAAAAAGGAAAGUACAAUAUAUCUUUAGUAACAUUUAUUGAAACUCUCCACGGAAAUCAUGACACGUAUGAUGACGAAUAGGUUUUAUUUUCUCGGCCGAUCGAAAGAGGCGGGGGAGGAGGAGAGAGAGAGGGAGGAUGGAAUCUGGAACUUCACCCUCCGCCCGUCAAAAGAUAAAGCGCAAGAUACACAGGAAGUAGUAAGUAAAUAAAACACCUCGAAAGAAGUAGUAGUACCUGCUACAUGAUAUACGACCGAUCUUUCACCGUUCCCGUUGCCGGUUGAUAACUCGAUUUGUCAAUAUCAGACGGGGGGGAUACUAUCGAAUUUAUUUUUUUUUCUUUUUUUUUUUAUACAAAUCCCGAUUCACCGGGUCGCAAAGUAAAUUCUUUCGCCUCGUGUGACGAGAACUGCACGGCACACGAUUUCAUAUUCCAACGAAGGAAAGUAUUUUGCAUAAUUUAUUUCGCUGCAACUUCUUUUCCACCUUGCGUCGCCCUUUUCCGCCCACCUCCGCCCAACGUGGUCGCCAUCCCCUUCCCUCCACGUUGCUUGUUACAAACCACGCCCCCUUCUUUUCGAAUCCCUCUUUUCGAAUCCUUUUUGUUUCCGUCAACGUUGCGAAACUAUUGAGAUCGAUCGUUCCUCCAUUUCAUUCAUUCUCCAAUUCCUUCUUGGAAUUCUCUACAAGGUCGUCCCGAAUAAAAGUUGCCGCCAAUGUGGAUGGAUGGACAGUCUGUUUUUUUGAUUAAAAAAAAAAGGAAGAAGAAAGAGAGAGAAAGGGAAAUUAUUUUGGAUUUUGGAAUUUUAAAGAUUAAAUUGAUCUGCAGAUUUAUGAAGUUAGCAUCGUAGCCAGAGACGAGGGAGUAAUUACGUAAAAUUACAUAAUACCGUUAAUGACGUUUACGCCACGAGAAAUUAGGUUCAUCACGGACAAAUUUAGCACAGUUAUGGAUCCCUGUAUUGUAUCCCUUAAAUGGGGCUGCUGUUAAUUAAGAUUAAUAAAACACCAUCAAUUGCAAUGGCUGGUUUUGAUCAAUCGAUAAUAUUUUUAUCGAAGUCGCGAUAUAAACUACACAAAAUUCGCGAAGAAUAUUUUUCUUCAAGUUUGAAGAUCUUACAAAAAUGAACAUGUAUUAAUAAUAAUACAGAUUGUUAUCCCAGAUAUUUUUUUUUUUUUAAAUCUCACCAGGGCAAAAAAUAUCCAUGUUCAAAGGGUUAACUCGACAAUUUCCGUUCACAAGCACGAACAGUAUAAGUAAAAGCACAAUCGGGGGAACUCGAUCAAACACGCGAAGACAAACGAGUCAUUUAUAAUGACUUGCGACAUUUGACACGAAAUUACGAGAGAUUAAAGCAUGAUACGAUAAUUUGUAUGAAUAUGUAAUUGAAAAAAAAAAAAAGAAAGAAAAUUAACAUGGAGCAAGUAAGCUUACUUUUAUCGCUUACCUUUAUUCAUUCUUCGAAUAAAUUCUCAAACGUUUGCGACAAUUCAAAGUCGUCGGUGAAAUUUCCGAGGAACAAAUAGAAGAAGAAUCUCGUCGAGAAGAAAGUUUUCGCGAGGUAAUCGUGGCUGGUAAUUAUUAUACCGUUAAUUAUUGCAAAAGCAAAACAAAAGUUUAUGGGCCACUGAAUGAAACUUUAUUAUUCGCUUUACUUGUUCAUUUAUUCAUUUCGUUUGGCAGAAAGUAAUUCGAUAACUCGGUAUCGAUGACAAGGUUAGAAAAAGAGCGCUCGAGCGGGGAAUUUUUUUUUUCCCCUAGACGCGCGGCACGCGUCGCGGGGCAACCAAGCGACAACGUAAUUUAUCCAUUCGGAUAUCCCCUCCCCCAUCGAGCGCGUUCGUAAGAAAAACAGGAAACUUUUCCGCCGGUGGCACGUGUACGCGCUUGUUGUAAACUUCGCACCGCAUAAAAGCAUGUAAAUUGCAGCUCGCGUGUACGUGCUUGGCGUAAAGCUUCCAGAGAGCACUUCGUUUUCGCAUUUAACCAACCUCAUUCUUGUUUGAUCAGCCCUGCCACAGCUUCGAAUCGCUUUGAACGCAUUUUAAGUCAAACUUUUGCAAACUAUUUCUGCAAUAUCCCUCUCCAAUCCUUCGAUACACUGUUUAUAAUAAACGAUUGAUAUAUUCGCGAGAUAUUUUUGAAGGAUUUCUAAAAACGCCCAGUAUGCAAUAACCGAGUGGUCGAUGAAAUUGCAAAUAUAAAAAAAAAAUUUGUUUUUCAAUUCUUCUAUAUAAAACUUUUCUUCUAUUUCGAUCGAAGUCGUAAAUUUUAUUCGGAAGAAGAACAAUUUUAUCGAACAAAUCCGAAAAUGAUUGCAAAAGAAGCUACGAUUGCGGAAGGUGGAACGAUUCUCGGUAAAUUGGACAUUUGAGCCACGGAAAAAGGGACUUUAAUUACGUUCGCAUCGAACUUCUUACCGGGUCUUGAAUCGAUUUUUCUUCUUCUUUUCUCGAAUUAAUCCUUUCGCGGCCCCGUGUUGUACCUCUGUGUUGGCCUCUGUGAUUCUGAUGUUUUUCAUUAAAAUCUCUACGGGUUUAUUCAAUGCAAACAAAUUGUUACGAAAUAUUUCUCGAAUAUGGAAGAUCAAAAAUGAACGGAAGUUGAAGAUUAAUUUUGCGCCUUAUUAAAAUUUAAUUGCUCGAUUGUGACGCGACAAAAAAUUAAAUUCAUAAAGUUUCGAUUCAUCGAAAGAUCGAUAAAGAAAUUUAAUGGAGAGAGAAGGAAUAAGAAGUAAUAAGGAUGGAAUUAUUUCAACAAUUCAAAUUCACGAAAAUAUGUUUUAUUUCAUGUGUAAUCGUGGGAUUACUAGAUUUUCAUAUAAGCAACAUCGUUUGAAUUCUGUAAACGUGGAGAAAUUUUAGAUAGAAAGGGAGAGAAAAGAAGAGAAAAUGUUCGUGGAUCAAGAAUGGUUAUUCUCAUUCGAAUGUCGUGUCGCGAAAAUCGAGAUGAGCGACUUCCAUUUCGCUAUUGCUCAUUCCACCUUUUCAGCGGCUGUGUCAAGACACGAAAUUCUCGAAAUAGACGGCACCACGAGAGCGAGGGAAAACGUGAAACAGAGAGGGGGGGAGGGACGAAGAUGAAAAUUCGACCAAGAAUCUUCUAAUCCAAUCCAAUUCAUCGUUGAAAAGAUUGUAUUUGACGUCGACCGGCGUUAUAUACGCUUAUGACGAAUACUUUUUCAAUUUUCAAACUUCUAUACGAUUUGUAAUAUUAUUUUGAAUUUUAUUUUCAUAUUUUAAAAUUCUUUCUAGAUAAAUAUUACGAACGAGAGAUAUAAAAGAUUUGCCCCGUCAGAGAAUGAAAAAAGAAGGAAGACUUUUCACUCAAUUGGGGCCAAAGAUUUUGAAAUAAAUAUAUUACAUAUAUAUUAUGUAAUCAACUAUUGGCACAUGAUCAAAUUAAUUCAUUAUUUGGAAGCCUUUUGAUAUCUUUCAGCAUCAACUCUUUCAGAGCUGAAUGAUUGUGGAAAAAAUUUUUUUAAUAUUAAUUAUUAACGAUUAUUAAUUAUUUUGUAAAUUUAACAUGAAUAUUUACUUUUUGAUUG